rnacentral:rRNA from 1 species
AGUGAACGCUGGCGGUAGGCCUAACACAUGCAAGUCGAACGGCAGCACAGUAAGAUCUUGCUCUUACGGGUGGCGAGUGGCGGACGGGUGAGGAAUACAUCGGAAUCUACUUUUUCGUGGGUGAUAACGUAGGGAAACUUACGCUAAUACCGCAUACGACCUACGGGUGAAAGCAGUGGAUCUUCGGACCUUGCGCGACUGAAUGAGCCGAUGUCGGAUUAGCUAGUUGGCGGGGUAAAGGCCCACCAAGGCGACGAUCCGUAGCUGGUCUGAGAGGAUGAUCAGCCACACUGGAACUGAGACACGGUCCAGACUCCUACGGGAGGCAGCAGUGGGGAAUAUUGGACAAAGGGCGCAAGCCUGAUCCAGCCAUACCGCGUGGGUGAAGAAGGCCUUCGGGUUGUAAAGCCCUUUUGUUGGGAAAGAAAAGCAGCAGGUUAAUCCCCCGCUGUUCUGACGGUACCCAAAGAAUAAGCACCGGCUAACUUCGUG